rnacentral:rRNA from 1 species
AUGUCGCCGCCGGCACCGGCGCUGCUGGACGAGCUCCUCGAGGAGAUCUUCCUCCGCCUUCCGCCGGACGAGCCCGAGCACCUCGUGCGCGCCUCCCUCUCCAGCAAGCGCUGGCUCGGCCUCCUCUCCGGCGCUCGAUUCCGCGGCCGCUACCGCGAGCACCACCGAGCUCCCCCCAUGCUGGGCUUCCUUUAUUCCUUCCACUUCAACUCCAGCGCGGAGACGAAAGAUAACAUCCCACACUUUCUCCCCACCACCAAAUUUCGUGCGUGCAUCCCCGACGACGACUGGUUGGGCUACAGUGCGUUGGACUGCCGUCAUGGCCGCGUUCUCAUUGGCGAAGUGGCCUAUCGACCCAUGACGGGCUGCCGGCGGGAGCUGGAGGCGCCCGCCCUGGGUGGACGACAGUUAUGGGGUCGCGGUGCUCUGCGCCGUGGCCGGCUGUGA